rnacentral:rRNA from 1 species
AUGAAAGGAGGCAAGGCGAUGAGCCCUGAUUGUAUCCCCAUUGAGGUGUGGAAAGGUCUCGGGGACAUCGCGAUAGUAUGGCUAACCAAGCUUUUCAACCUCAUUUUUCGGGCAAACAAGAUGCCAGAAGAAUGGAGACGGAGUAUAUUAGUAUCAAUCUUCAAGAACAAGGGGGAUGUUCAGAGUUGUAAUAAUUACCGUGGAAUAAAGCUGAUGAGCCAUACAAUGAAGCUAUGGGAGAGAGUCAUUGAGCACCGCUUAAGAAGAAUGACAAGCGUGACCAAAAAUCAGUUUGGUUUCAUGCCUGGGAGGUCGACCAUGGAAGCCAUUUUCUUGGUACGACAACUUAUGGAGAGAUAUAAGGAGCAAAAGAAGGACUUGCAUAUGGUGUUCAUUGACUUGGAGAAGGCCUAUGAUAAGAUACCGCGGAAUGUCAUGUGGUGGGCCUUGGAGAAACACAAAGUCCCAGCAAAGUACAUUACCCUCAUCAGGGACAUGUACAAUAAUGUUGUGACAAGUGUUCGAACAAGUGAUGUCGACACCGAUGACUUCCCGAUUAAGAUAGGACUGCAUCAGGGGUCAGCUUUGAGCCCUUAUCUUUUUGCAUUGGUGAUGGAUGAGGUCACAAGGGGUAUACAAGGAGAUAUCCCAUGGUGUAUGCUCUUUGCGGAUGAUGUGGUGCUAGUUGACGAUAGUCGGACGGGGGUAAAUAGGAAGUUAGAGUUAUGGAGACAAACCUUGGAAUAG